UAUGUGAUCGUCUCUCGCAUAUCAAUAAGCGGAGGAAAAGAAACUAACAAGGAUUCCCCUAGUAACGGCGAGUGAAGCGGGAAGAGCUCAAAUUUGAAAUCUUAAAGGGUUUCCCUUUACGAAUUGUAGUUUAAAGAAGUGUUUUCUGUUGAGGUUUUGGUAAAAGUUCUUUGGAAUAGGACAUCAUAGAGGGUGAGAAUCCCGUAUUUGACCUUUACUUUCAACUUUGUGAUACACUUUCAAAGAGUCGGAUUGUUUGGGAAUGCAGUCCAAAAUGGGUGGUAAAUUUCAUCUAAAGCUAAAUAUUGGCGAGAGACCGAUAGCGAACAAGUACCGUGAGGGAAAGAUGAAAAGAACUUUGAAAAGAGAGUUAAACAGUACGUGAAAUUGUCAAAAGGGAAGCGUUUGACACCAGUGUUGUUUUUCUGAAAAUCAAUUAAAGAACUGUUUAUGCUAAGCUGUUUAGACUUUAUCAGCUAACUGUUUAGUUUUGAGCUUUUCUUUAAUGCACUUUUCAGUUAACAAGUCAACAUCAAUUUCUUAUGCUGUAAAAAAGCUUGAGGAAGGUGGCUUGAGAUUCGUCUUAAGUGUUUAUAGCCUCUUGCCUAUGCAGUCGGAGAGAUUGAGGUCUGCAGCGUAGAUCCUUCGGGGCUAAAUGCAUUUGUGCUAAGUUAUAGCAUUUUAUAGACAACUUGUUGACUAUGAUUUGUCUUGUAGCUUACUCGCUUAUGUUAUUUUACCUACGCUUAGGAUGUUGAACGCGCACAGAGUCUC
rnacentral:rRNA from 1 species